GACGAACGCUGGCGGCGUGCUUAACACAUGCAAGUCGAACGGUAAGGCCCUUCGGGGUACACGAGUGGCGAACGGGUGAGUAACACGUGGGUGAUCUGCCCUGCACUUCGGGAUAAGCCUGGGAAACUGGGUCUAAUACCGGAUAGGACUCCGGACUGCAUGGUCUGGGGUGGAAAGCUUUUGCGGUGUGGGAUGGGCCCGCGGCCUAUCAGCUUGUUGGUGGGGUGAUGGCGUACCAAGGCGACGAGGGGUAGCCGGCCUGAGAGGGUGACCGGCCAAACGGGGACUGAGAUACGGCCCAGACUCCUCCGGGAGGCAGCAGUGGGGAAUAUUGCACAAUGGGCGCAAGCCUGAUGCAGCGACGCCGCGUGGGGGAUGACGGCCUUCGGGUUGUAAACCUCUUUCAGCAUCGACGAAGCGAAAGUGACGGUAGGUGCAGAAGAAGGACCGGCCAACUACGUGCCAGCCGCCGCGGUAA
rnacentral:rRNA from 1 species